rnacentral:tRNA from 1 species
UAGGGAGACCUACCUUGGGGCAUCUGAGGGGAGUUAGACCACCCUCAGGCCAGCAAAGGUUAUCCCAGGUCGGUCGGGGUUGAGGGGAUGGUUGACUGGGGUUCUGGAGGGGAACCGAGGGGAGGGCUAUUAGCUCAGGUGGUUAGAGCGCACCCCUGAUAAGGGUGAGGUCCCUGGUUCGAGUCCAGGAUGGCCCACUGUUUGUCCUGGAGAAGGGAGAGCUAGCAAGCUAGAAGCGAGCUGGCCAAGCUGAGGGCAAAGCCASAGGGUGGGUGCAGUCUGGAUUGGGGGUAUAGCUCAGCCGGUAGAGCGCUGCCUUUGCACGGCAGAAGUCAGCGGUUCGAGUCCGCUUACCUCCACCACUUUGGUGAGGAGCCSGGAAGGGGUUCUC